GUUUUUUUUUUUUUUGUUGGUGUUUUUUGUUUUUUUUUUCCUAAGGCCUAACUCUAUGGGAAGAUAAAGAAAACUAGUAUUCUUCUGGCCAAAAAUGUAUAUAUUUCCUAAUCCCCAAAAAAGGCUAUGAAUGGACUACCACUGUGUGAAACUGCAUCAGAAUAAGCCACAUUUUCUUUCUACAGUCCAGCUUGGGAGCACUUGGAGGAGCAUUAAUCUCCCAAAGGACAGCCUGUCCUUGCAGCUAUUUCUGGGCUUUCUGCCAGGGCAAAAGCUAUUUGAAAGGCUUUAUCAUCAUUCUUUCUUCAUUCCCCAACACUGCAGCUGUGGAUUUAUUUUUGUAAGCUUGCUGCAAAGCUGCAUCUGAUUCUCCACACACGCAUGUGAAGAAGUUGUCUGCAGUGAUGGUUCCCCCUUUUUCUUUUGAAAGAGAAGGGUAUGCACCUGGGUCUCUCUAAAGGCAGGGUGAAGAGGAAGGUAGUUGUAGAUACUAUGAUAACAGCAGAAACAAGCUUAUGAGAAGGGGCUUUGUGAGCAGUGAACUGUAAGAGGUUGUUUGGUUUUGUGGGGAAAUAUUGGUCUCCUGCUUACCAUGAAGCACAAAAUUGGCUGAGGGAUCAGAGCCUGAGGGUCAUACACGCUGUACAUGUGAAGUCUACCUCACUGCCCUUAAUUCAGAGGAAAAAUAACCGAGACAAAUGCCAUCAGCUGUCCCAACUUCAGAUUCAAACAGCUUUUAUAUAACACAGAUUGGGGGAAUGAUACUGUUUCCAAGGAUGUAGAAGAACUACGCUCCUCCAGGGGUAGGUAAAGCCUGCAUUUCAUGCACUACAAUCUAAUUCUGGACACGGUAUCAUGCUCCAUGCAAGCUGCAAGGCAUCAGUUGAAGCAGAUUUGUUCUGUGAGGCUGUGAGAAAAAAGAGAGCGCUCCUGCAGUUUGAAAAAUAUAAAGGCAAUUAUUAGGCAGGAAGCUAUCAGAAUUUUUACCCUUGUGGGCUGGAGCUUGAGACGGUGUCCUGGGUGCUCCUUGGCUCCUGCUGCAGGCUGGACAAGCUGCUGGGCUGCAGAGCCAAGCAGCGUGAUGCUUGGUGUGACUAACCGAAGCCUGGAGGAAAAGUCUAGAUAAAAAAUGCAGAUGAAGAAUCAGCCCUGAUCUCCAGCCCCUGUAAAAUCUUAACUAAGUUACUAAGUAUGGAAACACAGCGUCAUUUCAGCAGGCGUUGCAGAAGAUUGCCAUAUGGGCUGCCUCUGCAAAGCCACAAGCUCGAAGCCUCAGCAAGCACUGACAGUGCUGACUUGCUCUUUAAGGGCAGGUUUCUGACUCUCCUGCAAGGAGUUCUGUAAAGCACACACACAGCUGCAGAGAGCAAAGCAGCAUGGAUGCAUCAUGCAUUCCUUCUCACCUGCUCCAGCUCUGAUCUUCCUUCCCUGGAGUGAGUGUAAUUGGGUAAAUUGGACCUGCAUACCCUCUGCAGGGCUGUAGAAACCAGAAUCAUGUACUUACUGGCCAGCUCAGACACUGUAGCUAAAAUUUGUUUUAGCCACAAGUGGCUUAAAGACAGCCCUGCCACAGGGUGGGGAAGGGAUAAAUGUGCUGCCAAUUUUUCCAGGCUUCAGGAGAACUGAGUAAGAGCAGCAGAACACAGGAGAUGUUCCCUCAGCUCUGGCUGCUGCCAGGUGUAAACAGAAGUUGCUAUGGCUUUAAGGGAAGAGGAGGUGGUUGCCCUGUAGUGCAAAAGGGGGAAUCUGUAUGAGGAGGAGAGGAGGGUUUUUCCCUGCACAGGGAAGCCACCAGCUGAUUAAAUUGAUAGCCACUUUUCUAUGGCUCAACUGAGACAAAGUGCAAUGUCACAUCAGGUGCAGAUUUGAUGAAAACCUUGGGGCUUUCUGCCUCUAAUUAUCCCCAUCCUCAACCUGGCUGAUGCAGCUGAUUUGAAGGAAACCUAUUACAUUAGUCUACUUCCUAAACCACAUCAGAGUCCUUUGUCCCUGCUUGCAGUCUCUAGUUUGCAGUGCAUCCCAUUCAUACAGUACAUGGUCACCAGCCCUUACCCAGGAGGUUUGAGACUACUCAAAUUGUCUCAGGAUACCAAGGGGAAGGUCUUAGUUAACCACUGCCUCCAUAGUGUGGCAUGAGCCCUACCUAACUCCUGAUGGGGAGCCUUCUUGUAAUUUAAAUAGCACCCAGGCACAGUUGUAAGCACAGACAGGUGCCACUGAGGGCCUGGCCCACUCCAUGGCAGCAACCAGCUCCUGCUGCCAGCAGCACCAUCCAUCUAUUGGCUGGAGCAGCCUUUGCACACCAGGGCCCCCAGCACACAGCUGUUAUCCCACCUCACCUAACAGCUUGGGCAAAGGGCUCAAAUGCCAGAGACCUCCAGCCCCAGGAGGCUACAACUGGAGAAACCCUUCUCCAAGGUUUCCUUAAGGACCUUUUCCCUCCCCACUCCAGCACCGACUGAAGCCCUGGUAUCACUGCACUACACAUAUGUGCCAGCCAGGCUCAGAUGUCCAGCACCUGAGCCCAGCAGCUCAGGAAGCCACACUAGUGGCAUGUCCACAUGCCAAAGGAAUUAAGCAGCGUUAAAUGGGACUAUCAGCAGCCAAAAAAAAAAAAAAAAAAAAAAAAAAAAAAAAAAAA
ensembl:lncRNA